rnacentral:rRNA from 1 species
CACGUAGGGUGCGAGCGUUGUCCGGAAUUAUUGGGCGUAAAGAGCUCGUAGGCGGUGUGUCGCGUCGGCCGUGAAAACCUGCAGCUUAACUGUGGGCGUGCGGUCGAUACGGGCAUCACUGGAGUUCGGCAGGGGAGACUGGGAAUUCCUGGUGUAGCGGUGAAAUGCGCAGAUAUCAGGAGGAACACCGGUGGCGAAGGCGGGUCUCUGGGCCGAUACUGACGCUGAGGAGCGAAAGCGUGGGGAGCAAACAGG